rnacentral:lncRNA from 7 species
GCGAUUAGGUCCUGCUUCUCUUAACGUGAGAAGAGAUAAAUUUGGUGUUUUGCAACUUUCUCAGGAUAUGUACUCGGUGAGGAUUUUGUUAAUUAUUAUGGCUGUUAGCGUGGCCUGACAAUGCUUGUGUAAACCUGCACUUUGUUUGAGCGUAGUGACAGCUAAUAUGGUGCUGUUUGGCUUUUGCUGAGGGAGUGGCAAUGCAAAUGAAAUCAACUGGUGGCGUUAUUUGUCAGGGUUUAACUGAAAGUGCCAUUUGUUUGGUUAGCUUGGAUAAUGCUCUUUCCAUUUAGGUGAUGUUUGGUUUAAGGAUGUAAAUGGUCGGUAAAAUUCGGUAAAUUUCUGGUACCGUUUACCAGAUUUUUCCGACCGUUUUCAGAUUUUUCGGGAUAUACGGAAAACGGGACGGAAACAGGAUGUGUUAUUACGAAAACGGUACGGUAAAUGGUGAGACAUAUUUACCGUCCGUUUUCGGAAGUUUUGGGAAAAUCCGGUAUUUUCCCGUAUUUUAACCGUAUUUUCCCGGUCAAAAGAAAACAAGAGAGGCAAGAACUAUACCCGUUAGGGUUUAGAGAUUAGGGUUUUAGAUGUCAUAGAAGAUAUAUCAAGUGAUCCAGACGACAUGCCACAUGAUUUUUAGUUUAUGUAUCGUGUGUUUAAGACUUAUAUACUAUGUGGAUAAAACUUUAGUGAACAUGUAUGAUUAUUUAUGUGUGGUCAUGACUAUGUAUUGUAUAUUUGUGUGGUUGAGACUUGUAUGUGAAUGUUAAUGAACAAUCGUGUUUUAAGACUUAUGUGUUGUGUG